GGGUGGGUAGCUCAGUGGUUAGAGCUUAAGUCUCGUAACCGGAGGUCCCGGGAUCGAAACCCGCUAAAGAA
rnacentral:tRNA from 1 species